rnacentral:pre_miRNA from 1 species
AAUUUCAGCAGAAAAAGUCAUGAACAUAAAAGUUGUAGAGCUCAUCAAUACAUACAACUUUUAUUUUGGUCAUUUCUUCAUCCGAUAAAGUGAUAGUAACAUUAUUCACAAAGUUUAUAUAUCUCUCUUAUAGUUUAUUGAACCAGAUGAGACAUAUGUAAAUUUUGUGAACAAUGUUACUAUCACUUUGUCGGAUGAAGAAAACAACCAAAUAUAAAAGUUAUAGAUAUUGAUCAGUUAUACAACUUUGUUGUUGAUGACUUUUUCAAUUGAAAUC